CAGCCGCGUAAUUCCAGCUCCAAUAGCGUAUAUUAAAGUUGUUGCAGUUAAAAAGCUCGUAGUUGAACUUCGGGGUCUACCCAUUGGUCAGGCUUAAUUGUCUGUACUGGUGAGAUGGAUCUCUACCUUCUGAGGAACUUUCAUGCCAUUUAUUUGGUGUGGUUGGAAAUCAGGACUGUUACUUUGAAAAAAUUAGAGUGUUUAAAGCAGACUAUCGUCUGAAUACAUUAGCAUGGAAUAAUGAAAUAGGACGGACUGAUUCUAUUUCGUUGGUUUCUAGGAUCACCGUAAUGAUUAAUAGGGAUAGUUGGGGGCAUUAGUAUUCAAUUGUCAGAGGUGAAAUUCUUGGAUUUAUUGAAGACUAACUACUGCGAAAGCAUUUGCCAAGGAUGUUUUCAUUAAUCAAGAACGAAAGUUAGGGGAUCGAAGACGAUCAGAUACCGUCGUAGUCUUAACCAUAAACUAUGCCGACUAGGGAUCGGACGAAGUUAAUUUUAUAAUGACGCGUUCGGCACCUUACG
rnacentral:misc_RNA from 1 species